rnacentral:rRNA from 1 species
GACGAACGCUGGCGGCGUGCCUAAUACAUGCAAGUCGAGCGCAGGAAACUGACGGAACUCUUCGGAGGGAAGGCAGCGGAAUGAGCAGCGGACGGGUGAGUAACACGUAAGGAACCUGCCUCAAGGAUUGGGAUAACUCCGAGAAAUCGGAGCUAAUACCGGAUAGUUCAUCGGACCGCAUGGUCCGUUGAUGAAAGGCGCUCCGGCGUCACCUUGAGAUGGCCUUGCGGUGCAUUAGCUAGUUGGUGGGGUAACGGCCCAACAAGGCGACGAUGCAGAGCCGACCUGAGAGGGUGAUCGGCCACACUGGGACUGAGACACGGCCCAGACUCCUACGGGAGGCAGCAGUAGGGAAUCUUCCACAAUGGACGAAAGUCUGAUGGAGCAACGCCGCGUGAGUGAUGAAGGUUUUCGGAUCGUAAAACUCUGUUGUAAGGGAAGAACACGUACGAGAGGAAAUGCUCGUACCUUGACGGUACCUUACGAGAAAGCCACGGCUAACUACGUGCCAGCCGCCGCGGUAAAAC